rnacentral:lncRNA from 1 species
AGAGGCGCAGAGAGAGAGGCAGAGAGAGGCAGAGAGAGGCAGAGGCGCAGAGAGAGAGGCAGAGAGAGGCAGAGAGAGGCAGAGAGAGAGAGGCAGAGAGAGGCAGAGAGAGGCAGAGAGAGAGAGGCAGAGAGAGAGGCAGAGAGAGGCAGAGAGAGAGAGAGAGGCAGAGAGAGAGGCAGAGAGAGGCAGAGAGAGGCAGAGAGGCAGAGAGAGGCAGAGAGAGGCAGAGAGAGAGAGGCAGAGAGGCAGAGAGAGGCAGAGAGAGAGCAGAGAGAGGCAGAGAGAGGCAGAGAGAGGGAGGCAGAGAGAGGCAGAGAGAGGAGAGGCAGAGAGAGGCAGAGAGAGGCAGAGAGAGAGAGGCAGAGAGAGGCAGAGAGAGAGAGGCAGAGAGAGGCAGAGAGAGGCAGAGAGAGGGAGGCAGAGGGAGGGAGGCAGAGAGAGGGAGGCAGAGAGAGGGAGGCAGAGAGAGGGAGGCAGAGAGAGGGAGGCAGAGAGAGAGAGGCAGAGAGAGAGGCAGAGAGAGAGAGGCAGAGAGAGAGAGGCAGGCAGAGAGAGGCAGGCAGAGAGAGAG